GGCCUGAUGGUCUAGAGGCAUGAUUCUCUCUUAGGGUCUGCGCGUUCAGUGCCUGAUCGUUUGGGAGAGGUCCCGGGUUCAAUCCCCGGUUAGGCCC